AACGAACGCUGGCGGCAUGCCUAACACAUGCAAGUCGAACGAGACCUUCGGGUCUAGUGGCGCACGGGUGCGUAACGCGUGGGAACCUGCCCUUAGGUUCGGAAUAACUCCCCGAAAGGGGUGCUAAUACCGGAUAAUGUCUUCGGACCAAAGAUUUAUCGCCUUUGGAUGGGCCCGCGUUGGAUUAGCUAGUUGGUAGGGUAAAAGCCUACCAAGGCGACGAUCCAUAGCUGGUCUGAGAGGAUGAUCAGCCACACUGGUACUGAGACACGGCCCAGACUCCUACGGGAAGCAGCAGUGGGGAAUAUUGGACAAUGGGCGAAAGCCUGAUCCAGCAAUGCCGCGUGAGUGAUGAAGGCCUUAGGGUUGUAAAGCUCUUUUACCCGGGAUGAUAAUGACAGUACCGGGAGAAUAAGCUCCGGCUAACUCCGUG
rnacentral:rRNA from 1 species